UAUAAGCCUGCAUGUUCCUGGAAAUCCUUGCCUAAGUAUUGCAGCCUCUCCUAGCGGUACCACGGCCCACCGUAUGUCAGGUAAGCUAUACCUUUUCUCGCUUCCCUUGUUAACUCUUGUGUCUCCUUGUUCCCAGUGCUCCCCUGUGUUCCUGAGCCACGCCAUUCCUGCCGCCAAGCCAGCCGCCUGCCGACACAUCCGGGAGCACCUCCAUAACCUUUGCUCAAUGAAAUGGUCAUCAUUUUACAUUUGCCUCCGCCUGCUCUUGGGUCCAGCUACUCCCCACACGUGACAGAAUACUUGGGCCACUAUGGACCCAGCAACUCCGGAGUCUCUGAAGAACGCAAGAUUUCAUCCAUUCAACCCCCUGUAAGCCCGCAGCUGCCGAGGCACCCCACUUCCCGUACAAAGAACCGCCCGAGCCCUACCCCAGGGACCUGGGUGCAUGUAGCCAGUUUAUUCUCAAUUGCUCACUCGUAUUCAAUAUCCAAUCGUACAGUUAUCCCACCGAACGUUCCAAAGUAGCAUUUGUCACUAACCUCCUCGGCGGCAAAGCAACACAAUGGUCCACUUCAAUAUGGCAAAACUCCUCUCCGGUACUUCAUUCAUUCGAUUAUUUUUCCGCCGAACUCUGCAAAGUAUUUGAUCACCCAGUUCAAGGCAAAGAAGCCUCCCUCCAGUUCGGGGUCGAGGUUGACUCAUCGGACACGGAGGCAGGGGCUGUCCUCUCGCAGCAGGACCCCACGACCCAUAAACUUCACCCAUGCCUUUUUUCCCCCCGUCGUCUGUCCCCUGCCGAGAGGAACUACGACGUAUGCAACCGAGAGCUACUGGCCAUUGUAUGGGCCUUGGAAGAGUGGAGGCACUGGCUGGAGGGGACUGAACUACUCAUUCAUCAUUUGGACAGACCACAAGAAUCUCUCUUGCAUCCGUUCCGCCAAACGCCUUAACCUUCAAAAAGCUCGCUGGGCUCUCUUGAGCAGGUUUAAUUUCAGUCUCCCCUUCCGUCCUGGAUCCAAAAACGGCAAACCCUGUCUCGACUUUACUCACCCCCGUCCAGCCCUGACGAACCGGAACCUAUCCUUCCUUCCUCAUGCUUCGUUGGAGCAGCCACUUGGCAGAUCAAACGGGUGGUUCAGGAGGCCCAAAAGACUCACCCGGAUCCCAAGACUGGGCCUCCAAACCACCUGUUCGUACCAGAUUCCGCACGCUCUGACGUUCUUCAAACUCACCUGCCAUCCUGGCAUCACCCGCACCAUUCAGUUCAUCCGGCAGCAUUUCUGGUGGUCCAGCCUUGUUCAAGACACCAGAGAGUUGGUCCAAGCUUGCUCUGAGGGAAGUCUUCACACCUGCCCCCAGCUGGGCUGCUGCAUCCAUUGCCUAUCCCUAGCCGCCCAUAUCGCUCUGGACUUUGUUACCGUUCUACCUCCUUCUGAAGAGCAGGCAGUGGCAGUCCCCACCGUCGAGGAUCAUCUCCAGAGAAUCCAGGCAGUGUGGAAAGACGUCCAAGCAGCGUUGACCUGGUCCGCCGCACGCAAUAAACAGCUCGCGGACCGUCAUCGCUCCCCGAUGCCCGAAGACCAGUGCUCCCCUGUGUUCCUGCCCCACGUCAUUCCUGCCACCAAGCCAGCCGCCUGUUCUGUCCACAGCCUGUCACCUGUCCACGCCUCCGCCUGCCAACACAUCCAGGACAACCUCCAUAACCUUUCCUCAAACUGUUCUACACUACACGAACGACUGCACCUCAGCGCACCUGACUGUCAAACUCCUGAAGUUUGCAGAUGACACCACUUUCAUCGGCCUCAACAGGGACUGUGACGAGUCUGCAUAUCGACAGGAAGCGGAGCGGCUGGAGCUGCGGUGCGGCCGACACAACCUGGAGCUGAACACGCUCAAGACUGUAGAGAUGAUCGUGGACUUCAGGAGGCAUCCUUCGCCACAGCUGCCCCUCACGUUGUCCAGCUGCCUUGUGUCAACCGUCGAGACCUUCAAGUUCCUGGGAAUUACAGUCUCUCAGGACCUGAAGUGGGCGACCAACAUCAACUCCGUCCUCCAGGAGGAUGUACUUCCUGCGGCUUCUGAGAAAGCAUGGCCUGCCACCGGAGCUGCUGAGACAGUUCUACACAGCGGUCAUCGAAUCAGUCCUGUGUUCUUCCAUCACAGUCUGGUUUGGUGCUGCUACAAAAAAGGACAAACUCCGACUGCAACGGACAAUCAAAACUGCUGAAAGGGUUGCCGGUACCCCCCUACCCACCCUUGAGGACUUGCACGCUGCCAGAACUAAGACAAGAGUGCAAAAUCCUCUCGGACCCUCCGCAUCCCGGUCACCGGCUCUUCCAGCUCCUUCCCACAGGGACCCACCUGAUGGACGUACUCGGGGACGUCUUCCAGCCGCUCGAAGGACGACUCGUUCGGCGUGAGCAAGUACAAUAUUGCUCGGAUCCUCGGCGGCACCGGCCCGUCCGCCAUGAUAUCCACCUGCC